rnacentral:rRNA from 1 species
UAUUUAUUUUAUUAUAUUUAUUUUUUGUUUAUUUAAUUAUUUAAUAAAAAUAAUUUUGUUGAAUUUUGUCUUAGUAUAUUUUGUAGAAUUGAUUUUUUAUAUUAUAGUUUAUUGGUAAUGUAAUUGUUUUAUGAAAUAUUAUUUUAAAUUUUUAAAAGUAGAUUUUAUUUAUUGUACCUUUUGUAUCAGGGUUUAUCAAAAUUUUAGUAUUUACUUUACUUGUCUCGAUUUGGGUUGAUUUAUAAAUAAUUUAUAGGUAAUGUAUCAUAAUCAUUAUUAAAUUAUUUAUAGAAAUGAGAUGUUAACCGUUUCCCAAGAUAUCUAGUUUCUUAAGAAAAAAUUUAAUUUUUAAAAGUUAAUUGUUUUUAUUUAAUUUUUUAAGUAUAAAUAUUAACUUAUUUAUUCUUUAAGGGAUAAGCUUUGAAGUUAAUAACCUAUAAUUUGUUUUAAUAAAAUAUAAUAGUAAGCUUUAAACCAGCUAUCUUUAAGAUUACGUUUUAGUUCAUUAUUUUUAUUUUUGAUUUUAUAACUAUUUUAGGUUUUUUAUUAAGAUUAUAAAUUUAAUUUUUAAAUUUUUGUAAUAAUGAUAGAAUUAGUAUAUUUAUUUGUAUAUAAUUUUUACCUUGUUAAUUUAUUAUAAGGAACUAGGC